rnacentral:misc_RNA from 1 species
AUGUCCAAAAUUCUAGAUGACGUGGCGGCAGUUUACUAUCCGAUAUACUUCACAAGUUGCUCAAUUCUCCACAUUCUAUUAUUCUACCUAAUAUUUAAUAAAACUUCGAAAGUUUUGAGAACGAUGAGAUAUUUCUUGUAUCCGUCGAACUUUUUCAACUACGUUUUAGCGGCGUUCACCUUUUUCCUGCAGUUUAGGACAGUCCAUAACACCCGUUCUCUGGCGAUAAUGUGUCAGGGUCCGUGUAAAUAUUUUGGAGCCGUUUGGUGUUUUAAUGGGUAUAUUUUUAUACUGUCUGUGGCAACUGCCGGCGGAGUACUAAACAUUCAUACUUUGUACUAUAGGAUGAUUACUAUAAAAUAUCAUGAUAAUAUGAAAUUUCGAAUUUUCAUCUUCGGACUCUGGUAUUUGUUCCCUAUUGCGAUUAUUGUCCUCUCCUACAUUCCCCCAAUCGACCUGGACUCUGUGUACCUCGAGACAUUACAAGCUCACCCGGACUAUAAUUUUGAGCCCUAUAGAAAAUUCGGCGGAUUUGCGAAUUCUCACAGUAUUUUCAUGACGCUCGUCACUUUUACACUGGUUCUGCUGACCAUUGUCGCGCCGACGCUUGGCUAUUCUUGGAGACGGCAAACGCUAAAAGUUUUGGACCGGAAUAUAAAUUCGCUUUCCGCACAAAGUGUGACACAGUUCAGAGCACUGGUCCAUGGCCUCGGACUGCAAAUUAUGCUCCCGCUGUUUUGUUAUGUUCCUGUUGGGUUUUUCUACAUUUUCAAUAAAUAUGUUGGAACUCAAAUUCUCAUCUCCCAAUACACUUCCCAUAUCGCAGAGCCGCCAAGCGAAUUCUGACCUGCUCAAGGUCGGAGAGAAUUGAGAAUAAUGAAAAUUCACUUCGUCGAAACACGGUGACAUUGUGGAAUGGGAGAAAGACUUCUAGUCCUAACCAAAUGCAAAAUUUGACCUGA